rnacentral:snoRNA from 1 species
CUAAUGGGCAAAGAAAGACCUUACUAUUAGCUUCUAUAUAGACAAAAUGCACCCAAGAGGUGCAUUUUGUUUGUCAUUUUGUUGCCUAUUCAAUA